UAAAUAAAUCAAUUGAAGAGGCCACAGUAAAACUUUACCUAACAAUUAAUUUAGCCCACAAAUUUCAGCUAUAGGAAUGACUCCAGAGCCUACUGAGUUGGUUUUUAUAUGAAGUUUCAGCUGAGAUUUCUAAGUCUACUUUCUUCAGAUGCUUUCCAGGCAGUGUAUGAAGGAACUUCAGAUAUGGACAGGAGAGAAGAUAAUUGCAUGUACACUCAUAAAAGAAGCCUACUGCAAAGACAACCCAAAAAGCUCUGCCUGCACGUUUAUUCUCAUGAGACAAUAGCAGAGAAGAAAACUUCACCGAAUGAUUUCAAAAAGGUAUUAGCCAAGCUUAUAAAUAUGAAACUACAUAGAAAUAUACUACUACAAUGGUUAGACAAAGUAGGCAGAAUGUUGCACUUUUUAGACUCAGAAACUAAGGAAGGGUGGGAGUAGUAGAAGGCUGUGUUACUGUCUCUGCAUUUACUUAGAUCUUGAUUUACAGUGUCAAGUAAACAGAAGGAAGCCACUACCAUUUUUUUUUUUAAUCCAGAAUAACUAAUCUUUUAAUUUUUUUCAUUUUGAAUACAUUAUAUUUACUUCAUUUAAGACAUGAAAUAUUUCUUAAUCUCACUAACGGGAUGAAUCCUCUGGGAAAAGAGAACAGAAACAAAACUUCUAGAGCUUAGAUCCUCUAAGUGGAGAGUAACACCAAUUAUAUAAAAUACCUGAUAUAAAACCUUUUUCAAUGCCAUUCCAAAUUAGCAGUUUUAUCCUCAUUAUCAAGCAGAACAGAGCUAUGCUCAAGAAAAUGGGCAGAAGUGGUUGCUGCUUAACAUAUCAUCUUUCCAAAUAGUAUAACCUGGUUUCUUCGAUGCAUCACCCGAUGCUGCUGCCACACUAGAUGUCUGUCCCAGCAGUGAGGCUACUGUUGGUCUCAAGACAAAUUUCCACUGUGGGGUUGCUGGCCCAGCUCUGUUUUUUCCAUUGCAAUCAGAAGAGGAGGAGGAUGAAAAGGGAAAUUUCUUCUUCAUGGGAAGUUAAGGAAAGUGGGUAUUUCCAGGCUUAGAAAUAGUUCUGGUUGAUACUGGGUGACUCUAUGCUCCACACUUGUAGAGGAGGAGAAUGAUACUAAAAUGAAUGAAAGAGCAGAGAAAUUGGAAUGAGAGUGAAGUGGGUAAAUUAGAAUUUAAUUUAGGAGGUGCCUUCAUGAGGACUGUGAAAUUCUGCUAUGUCCUUGUGUAGUUCAUUUUAUAAGUUGUUUAUUCUUGAUACUGGGUACAAUACAAGUUUAUUCAUUGGUAAGCUGAGCUGGAUUAUGUCGCUGAUGCAAUACAAAUAAACCUGUGAACAUCAAUGGAAAUUGUUACUUU
rnacentral:lncRNA from 1 species